UAACGGGUUCGCCGUCUCAUCAUCUCCUUCCUCGUAUCGUAUGUUCCCAGCGAGGACAGAGGUGGCUGACGGCCAUGGCGGAUGCCGGACGGGGACGGGCCGCCGGCGAUUGGCAGGGGUUACUCGCGGAGGAAUCAAUGCAUUGCGCGUUCCGCACCUCGCCGUACCGGUUCCUCCGGCCCUGCAUCUAGGGGGGCCGUCUCUGGCUAUCCCAAACAUUCCUUCACGGUCUGCCGUCGAGAUCGUCGGACCCCGUCCUGGGGAUGGACCCUGCGCCUAGAGAAGCGGCGCGAUUCGUCUCCGGACACGCGCGCUGACGGAUGGUGGUGUGGCGGGAGGACGAGGACGCUCUCAGGGCCUCUGACGUCAACGGCGGGAGCGGAUGCUCUUGCUAUGGAACUGUUCGAUUGAAUGCCUGACUGGAAUCCGGCUCCAAAUACAGGUGAUGCACUUUCGGACGGGCGAUCAGCGGCCGCGCUCUGGCGUAGCAGGAGGCCAAGCGCGCCAAGAGCCUGGGAGAAGACGUGGUUGUUCAGCAGUCCGCCAGGGAUCGAUCACACACUAUGGAAUGGCGGCUUGGCGUUCCAGAUGCGAAGGCUGACUUGGAUGGUGAGCUGAAUGGCGAACUGAGCCAUGAGCAAAAACUACCACGAGGCAGCUCCUCUUAUAUGGCCUGGCUUAGUGGCCUCGGCACUGGCACUAGCCUGCAAUCAGGCUGGCGAUUACUCAUCUGCCCGAGGAAAGCGAGAGCGAGUCAAUGUCGUCACCUCGCAGCAUGAGUUGCUCACUGGCGAAUCCGACGAGGUUCCAGGUUGAUAGCUACGGCUGAACCCGUCGUCGUUUUCUGUGAAGAAAGCUAAUAGACAAAUCAAGCUCUGGAGAAGGGCGUUGUUUCAGAUGUAGCUGCUGGGAUCAGUACGUCUGUUCCAGUUGGGAACCUCUGAUUUGCAGUCAGGUGCCCACGACAUCUAGAAAACACUGUCAUUUUCUCUAGUUUUUUUUUACUAGUGAUAUGUAAGUCUCACGCCUAGAGUUCACUGCCAUGCGACGCAUUGGACAGAGGAGAGCACCAAGCUGGCAAUAAGUUGGAGUUGGUCUGUCUCUGCAAAUUUCUGUUCGUGUCUGCAUCAAAACUCACGUGCUUGACGCUCGUCAUCUUCCAUCUGCGCUUGUGAUAAAUGCAAGAUGCCCUGUUAA